rnacentral:rRNA from 1 species
UACGGAGGAUUCGAGCGUUAUCCGGAUUUAUUGGGUUUAAAGGGAGCGUAGGCGGGUUGUUAAGUCAGUUGUGAAAGUUUGCGGCUCAACCGUAAAAUUGCAGUUGAUACUGGCAUCCUUGAGUACAGUAGAGGUAGGCGGAAUUCGUGGUGUAGCGGUGAAAUGCUUAGAUAUCACGAAGAACUCCGAUUGCGGAGGCAGCCUGCUGGACUGUAACUGACGCUGAUGCUCGAAAGUGUGGGUAUCAAACAGG